GCACAUUUGGCCGAGUGGUUAAGGCGUUCGCCUGCUAAGUGAAUUCCCUCUGGGAGCGAAGGUUCGAAUCCUUCAGUGUGCG